rnacentral:lncRNA from 1 species
AAGAAUUAGUAGAUACCACACUUCCUGUAACUUGCUUAAUUAAGAGUUGAAAAGGUUCCCACCAUUGAAAUAAAAGCUCAAAAUAAAAAUUGCAAUUCCAACACAUCAUGUCCAUUUAAAAUUCUAGAACAAUAAGUACGAUCAACGAACCAUCUGCAGCCCUCAGAUAUCCAUCGGAGCGGUCUCUUCCUCCGCAGCAGCUCCUCCCUGGUCAGCGGCAGCACCACCAGCAGCUUCCUCUGCACCACCAGCAGCUGCAGGGGCUUCUUCCCCAGAAAUCUCAAACUCGUUAAUCAAUGCUUGUACAGUUGCUUGAUCCAGUAUAUUAAACGCUUCUCCUACUCCAACCACAGAAACCGUGCACACACUGCUGGUGAGUUUUUCUCCUUGCAGGGUCUCUCUGAUGGCAAAUAGCGCGUCCUUGAUGAGCUCGUCUCGGGAAGAUUGUGGGAAAUUCUCAAACUUACGUUCCAAGUACGUUUUAGCAGCUUGUGAACGGGACCCGAUGGCGAAGGCUUGAUAUUCGAAGUAGUUUCCACUAGGGCAGUUGUAGUAGAGAUGGGCCCCGGAUUCGUCUAAUCCAGCAACUAACAGACCAACACCAUAUGGACGUUUCCAUGACCGCUGGGUCUUUAUCGGCCAAUUGAACAACUAAGCGGCCAACAGGAAGCGGAGAUUCAUAAGUAUAGCCAUAAUUAAUACACUCGGAUCGCAUAUACCGCGACAAAACACGACCGUCAGCGGUUAAACCGGCGAUAGCGACACCGAUAUGGUCAUCAACCUUGAAGAUCUUCCGCUGGUGGGAAGAAAGCUCUGAGUUGGCCUUGUUGACGCAGGCGAGAACGGCGUGAGUGUUGGAUCGGAGGCCUAUGGCUGCAGAUCCUUGCUUAACGGCUUCCAUGGCGUAUUCGACCUGGAAUAAACGGCCUUGUGGUGACCAUGUGGUGACGUCGGUGUCGUAUUGGUUUCUGAACAUGGUGGAAUGAUUGAUGAAGAAGAAGUGUUGGUUGUUUAGGGUUAGAGUGU